rnacentral:rRNA from 1 species
GAUGAACGCUGGCGGCGUGCCUAAUACAUGCAAGUCGAGCGAACAGACGAGGAGCUUGCUCCUCUGACGUUAGCGGCGGACGGGUGAGUAACACGUGGAUAACCUACCUAUAAGACUGGGAUAACUUCGGGAAACCGGAGCUAAUACCGGAUAAUAUAUUGAACCGCAUGGUUCAAUAGUGAAAGACGGUUUUGCUGUCACUUAUAGAUGGAUCCGCGCCGCAUUAGCUAGUUGGUAAGGUAACGGCUUACCAAGGCGGCGAUGCGUAGCCGACCUGAGAGGGUGAUCGGCCACACUGGAACUGAGACGCGGUCCAGACUCCUACGGGAGGCAGCAGUAGGGAAUCUUCCGCAAUGGGCGAAAGCCUGACGGAGCAACGCCGCGUGAGUGAUGAAGGUCUUCGGAUCGUAAAACUCUGUUAUUAGGGAAGAACAAAUGUGUAAGUAACUAUGCACGUCUUGACGGUACCUAAUCAGAAAGCCACGGCUAACUACGUG